rnacentral:rRNA from 1 species
AACGAACGCUGGCGGCAUGCCUAACACAUGCAAGUCGAACGAGACCUUCGGGUCUAGUGGCGCACGGGUGCGUAACGCGUGGGAACCUGCCCUUAGGUUCGGAAUAACUCCCCGAAAGGGGUGCUAAUACCGGAUAAUGUCUUCGGACCAAAGAUUUAUCGCCUUUGGAUGGGCCCGCGUUUGAUUAGCUAGUUGGUAGGGUAAAAGCCUACCAAGGCGACGAUCCAUAGCUGGUCUGAGAGGAUGAUCAGCCACACUGGGACUGAGACACGGCCCAGACUCCUACGGGAGGCAGCAGUGGGGAAUAUUGGACAAUGGGCGAAAGCCUGAUCCAGCAAUGCCGCGUGAGUGAUGAAGGCCUUAGGGUUGUAAAGCUCUUUUACCCGGGAGGAUAAUGACAGUACCGGGAGAAUAAGCUCCGGCUAACUCCGUG